rnacentral:piRNA from 1 species
UCCUUACCACCAUAGAUGAUUCUUAGCCUG